GCCUCUGAAGCUCAGUUGGUUAGAGCGCUGCACCGGAAUCGCAGGGCCGUAGGUUCAAUUCCUACUGGAGGAC
rnacentral:tRNA from 1 species